UACAGAGGGUGCGAGCGUUGUUCGGAAUUACUGGGCGUAAAGCGCGCGUAGGCGGACCUGCAAGUCGGGGGUGAAAGCCCGAGGCUCAACCUCGGAACUGCCUUCGAUACUGCGGGUCUCGAGUCCGGGAGAGGUGAGUGGAAUUCCUAGUGUAGAGGUGAAAUUCGUAGAUAUUAGGAAGAACACCAGUGGCGAAGGCGGCUCACUGGUCCGGUACUGACGCUGAGGUGCGAAAGCGUGGGGAGCAAACAGG
rnacentral:rRNA from 1 species